rnacentral:rRNA from 1 species
AUUGAACGCUGGCGGCAGGCUUAACACAUGCAAGUCGAGCGGGGGAAGGUAGCUUGCUACCGGACCUAGCGGCGGACGGGUGAGUAAUGCUUAGGAAUCUGCCUAUUAGUGGGGGACAACAUCUCGAAAGGGAUGCUAAUACCGCAUACGUCCUACGGGAGAAAGCAGGGGAUCUUCGGACCUGGCGCUAAUAGAUGAGCAUAAGGCGGAUUAGCUAGUUGGUGGGGUAAAGGCCUACCAAGGCGACGAUCUGUAGCGGGUCUGAGAGGAUGAUCCGCCACACUGGGACUGAGACACGGCCCAGCCUCCUACGGGAGGCAGCAGUGGGGAAUAUUGGACAAUGGGGGGAACCCUGAUCCAGCCAUGCCGCGUGUGUGAAGAAGGCCUUAUGGUUGUAAAGCACUUUAAGCGAGGAGGAGGCUACUCUAGUUAAUACCUAGGGAUAGUGGACGUUACUCGCAGAAUAAGCACCGGCUAACUCUGUGCCAGCCGCCGCAGUAA